ncrna:unclassified sequences SAM-I/IV variant riboswitch
AUAGUACAUCAGGAGUGGUUUCAGUAUUGAAACCCGCCAACCGAACCCAGAUAAAUCAAGGUUACGGUGGUUUGAUCCUUAAACGGUAGAUGUGCCCAGGAAGAUGGGAAACAUGAUUAGCCGCCU